CCACUACUCUCAACCUGGAUCCGUCCUUGGUUCUUGACGCGUAGGAAGAUAAGCUCGUCCUACUCAACCACUGCUUGGGAGAAGGCAUAUUGCAAGGCGCCAGCAGACUCGCACGUGGGGUCGGCCACCACCAGGCUCUUGCUUCAUUUCUCAUUCUGUUUUUACAUUUUAUUGAUUUAAAAUGGGAUUUUGUCUAUAUGGUGUGGUUAGGUGGCUUACCAAUCAAAACAUGCUCUUGCAUCAAACAUAACUCCAAAAAUUCAGGGAGAUUGAGUAGGGGAGAGCCUGUAUUUUGGAAAGCAAGUUGGAGGAAUUACAAGUCCCUCUUUCUUGUUUUCCUUCAAUCGCAAUUCACACUCAGUCACAUCCUCAGUAAGGUGAUUCCAUUUGUGAGGUGUUCUUUUCUCUCCUAAUUCAAGGUUUUAUGCAGCUAGUGUGUAGUCAAUAUAGAAGAGAUGGAUAAAGUGUCUGCUCCUUCAUCAUAGGAGCCUGCACAAUGCCUUUAUGAGAAGGUACUCCUCUUUCUCCCUUGCUGACAUUAACCAAGCAGACAAUCUCAUAAAUGUGAUUAUUGAGCAAGGGCUCAUAUGCAUAAAUCUCUCUUUGUCUACCUAAUGUGAAGGAACCUGGUUAAUCAUCUAAUUAACUUCAUAGGAAUUUCUUUUUCAUAUGUGGAAUAAAUUCAAAGGAUAUCUUUUUAAUUUCUCAAUGUUUUAUAUAGUGGUUUGAUGGGUGAACCAAACCACCAUGUAGAAAGCCUGGUUAUGAGAAGUUUCAAUGUAAAAAUUUGUUCAUGUAUUUGUCCUGCAUGGAGUUUGGUCCAAUUAUAAACAUAAUUCUGCAAGUCUCUUUUAGUUUAGAUGGCUAAAGUUCACCAAUCAUAGCUAAACAAAGUGAUUUAUAGUGCUAUAAUUCUGCAAGUCUCUUUUAGUUUAGAUGGCUAAAGUUCAAUUUUUGUUGGUUUUUUGAGUUCUAGUGAGAGAAUUUUUGGUGGGUUUGAGAGAUUUUGAUGAUUAAUUUCUAGGUUGAAAGUAGUGGGCGUUAUAGAGAUAAUUACCAAUUGUUGAGAGAGAUAGUCGAGUUUUUUUUUUGGUCGAGAGAGAGUUGAAUUCUUUGUUUUUUUGUGGGUGAUUCAAUAAUCUUGCUUAGAAUGGCUGGUGAGUCCUGUGCCUACAACUACACAAAGGAUGGGUUUUGUGAGGUCUUUUUCUGUUGAUGUUGGGGGAGAAAAUUUGGAGGAACCUAAUCCAAGUGUGGUUGAUCAGCCAAUCUAUGUUGUUGUGUCAAAAGAAUUGAAGGAGAGCAAAUCAAAUCUGGUAUGGGCAAUACCACACUCCGGAGGAAAGAGGAUUUGCAUUCUUUAUGUUCACGUUCCUGCUACAAUGAUCCCCCUAUGUAUGUAUCUACUAUGCUUCUCUAUGUAGUUGUUUUUAAUCAGCAAAAGGAAAAACUUCUCUAUAUGUAUUUGUUCUUGAUACUUAAUU